rnacentral:rRNA from 1 species
UGCAUAUUCAAAAAGCGGAGGAAAAGAAACCAACCGGGAUUGCCUCAGUAACGGCGAGUGAAGCGGCAAAAGCUCAAAUUUGAAAUCCUUCGGGAGUUGUAAUUUGUAGAGGGGUGUCUUUGGGGCGGCAUUGUCUAUGUUCCUUGGAACAGGACGUCACAGAGGGUGAGAAUCCCGUGCGAUGAUGCCUCAACCAGUACAAGACCCUCUCGACGAGUCGAGUUGUUUGGGAAUGCAGCUCUAAGUGGGUGGUAAAUUCCAUCUAAAGCUAAAUACUGGCGAGAGACCGAUAGCGAACAAGUACAGUGAUGGAAAGAUGAAAAGCACUUUGAAAAGAGAGUGAAACAGUACGUGAAAUUGUUGAAAGGGAAGGGUAGGAGGUGAGGGGAAGAGCUGCUUAGGCGCGGGAGAUAAACAAGCAGGAAGCGCUUCGGUGCGGCCUGGUAAAUAUCCCGUGCUUGUGUGGUUCUUCCGUAAUCCCCUUCUACCGCCCGUCUUGAAC